rnacentral:ncRNA from 1 species
GCAGAGUAAGCCGUUGUGAGUUAUGUGCCGGUGAGACGGGGAGUUGUUCACCGGACGUAGUGUGGUCCGCCAUAGGAGGAUCAUGCGCUGUGCAGCGGCUGCAUCCCGCUGC